GGAAACUUGUGCUAAUACCGGAUAAGUCUUUACGGAGAAAGCUUUAUGCACCAUUGGAUGAGCCUGCACUUGAUUAGUUUGUUGGUGGGGUAAUGGCCUACCAAGACUGUGAUCAAUAGCUGAUUUGAGAGGAUGAUCAGCCACAUUGGGACUGAGACACGGCCCAAACUCCUACGGGAGGCAGCAGUGGGGAAUCUUGCACAAUGGAGGAAACUCUGAUGCAGCGAUGCCGCGUGAGUGAAGAAGGCCCUUGGGUUGUAAAGCUCUUUCGUCGGGGAAGAAAAUGACUGUACCCGAAUAAGAAGGUCCGGCUAACUUCGUGCCAGCAGCCGCGGUAAUACGAAGGGACCUAGCGUAGUUCGGAAUUACUGGGCUUAAAGAGUUCGUAGGUGGUUGAAAAAGUUGGUGGUGAAAUCCCAGAGCUUAACUCUGGAACUGCCAUCAAAACUUUUCAGCUAGAGUAUGAUAGAGGAAAGCAGAAUUUCUAGUGUAGAGGUGAAAUUCGUAGAUAUUAGAAAGAAUACCAAUUGCGAAGGCAGCUUUCUGGAUCAUUACUGACACUGAGGAACGAAAGCAUGGGUAGCGAAGAGGAUUAGAUACCCUCGUAGUCCAUGCCGUAAACGAUGUGUGUUAGACGUUGGAAAUUUAUUUUCAGUGUCGCAGCGAAAGCGAUAAACACACCGCCUGGGGAGUACGACCGCAAGGUUAAAACUCAAAUGAAUUGACGGGGACCCGCACAAGUAGUGGAGCAUGUGGUUUAAUUCGAAGAUACGCGCAGAACCUUACCAACACUUGACAUGUUCGUCGCGACUCUAAGAGAUUAGAGUUUUCGGUUCGGCCGGACGAAACACAGGUGCUGCAUGGCUGUCGUCAGCUCGUGUCGUGAGAUGUUGGGUUAAGUCCCGCAACGAGCGCAACCCUCACUUUUAGUUGCCAUCAU
rnacentral:rRNA from 1 species